GGACGAACGCUGGCGGCGUGCUUAACACAUGCAAGUGGAGCGACGAACCGGGCUUCGGCCCGGGGCAAAGCCGCGAACGGGUGAGUAUCACGUGGGUAACCUGCCCCGAUGACCGGGACAACCCGAGGAAACUCGGGCUAAUACCGGAUGUGCUCUCAAUCCACCAGGGUUGGGAAAAAAGGAAGCUUCGGCCUCCGCAUCGGGUUGGGCCUGCGGCCCAUUAGCUUGUUGGUGAGGUAACGGCUCACCAAGGCGACGAUGGGUAGCUGGUCUGAGAGGACGAUCAGCCACACUGGGACUGAGACACGGCCCAGACUCCUACGGGAGGCAGCAGUGGGGAAUCUUGCGCAAUGCGCGAAAGCCUGACCCAGCAACGCCGCGUGAAGGAUGAAAUCCCUCGGGAUGUAAACUUCGCAAGAACGGGAAGAAUAAGACGGUGCUAACACCACCGGCGAUGACGGUACUGUUUGUAAGCUCCGGCUAACUCCGUGCCAGCAGCCGCGGUAAUACGGGGGGAGCAAGCGUUGUUCGGAUUUACUGGGCGUAAAGGGCGCGUAGGCGGCCACCGCAAGUCGAUUGUGAAAUCUCCGGGCUUAACCCGGAAAGGUCAACCGAUACUGCGGGGCUAGAGUGCAGAAGGGGCAACUGGAAUUCUCGGUGUAGCGGUGAAAUGCGUAGAUAUCGAGAGGAACACCUGCGGCGAAGGCGGGUUGCUGGGCUGACACUGACGCUGAAGUGCGAAAGCUAGGGGAGCGAACGGGAUUAGAUACCCCGGUAGUCCUAGCCUUAAACGAUGAAUGCUUGGUGUCUGGGGUUUUAUAGUCCCCGGGUGCCGUCGCUAACGCUUUAAGCAUUCCGCCUGGGGAGUACGGUCGCAAGACUGAAACUCAAAGGAAUUGACGGGGACCCGCACAAGCGGUGGAGCAUGUGGUUUAAUUCGACGCAACGCGAAGAACCUUACCUGGGCUAGAAUGCCUCUGACAGCCCCAGAGAUGGGGUCUCCUGGGUAAAACCAGGCAGAGUGCAAGGUGCUGCAUGGCUGUCGUCAGCUCGUGUCGUGAGAUGUUGGGUUAAGUCUCGCAACGAGCGCAACCCUUAUCAAUAGUUGCCAGCGGUUCGGCCGGGCACUCUAUUGAGACUGCCGUUGACAAAACGGAGGAAGGUGGGGAUGACGUCAAGUCCUCAUGGCCUUUAUGUCCAGGGCUACACACGUGCUACAAUGGCCGGUACAAAGCGCUGCAAAAGAGCAAUCUGGAGCCAAUCGCAAA
rnacentral:rRNA from 1 species